rnacentral:lncRNA from 1 species
CAACAAGGACUUAAUCCACUAAUCUUGAAAGAUUACAAACAACGUCUAAGAUACAAAAUCUCUUAGCCCUCUCAAGUAUACAGACUACACAGAGUCACUUGAGGAAUUUAACAAACAAAAGAUGAAAGAUUUAUGUAAUCUAGAGUGCUUCUAAGAAAGCAAAUAUUACAAUGUAAAGAACAAAAGUUUUUCACGUAAUAAGCAAAAGCUUCGUGAAGAUCUUAGAGAGAAGAGUGUUUUUCUUGACUUGGUGUUUCAGUAUA